rnacentral:tRNA from 1 species
GCUUUGAUAGUUUAAAACAAAACAUUGGUCUUGUAAACCGAUAAUAAGGACUUACCUUUCAAAUCU